UCAUCCCUAGCUUCAUCAAAUCACACCAUCGCCUACCCACUUCUCCACCGAUGCAAACACACCCAUCCCGUAGCCACUCUCCCUCACCCGUUUACAUCAAUUUCAAUCGUUUCUCAUAUUUUAUCACCACCGAUAGGGCUUUGGAAGCUUAAUUUUUCUCGAUAAAGAUUCAGCAGCAGCUGCGGCUCUCCGGCGGCGUAGAGUACAAACUCUUUGUUGGUAUGCCUCCCAAAAAAGUUUCUGAUCACGAGAUCUUUGCUAUAUUUUCGGAGUCUGGAACCAUAACAGAUUUUCGGAGUUUGGAACCAUAAUAAGCAAAGGUCGCUCAUCAUUAUGCCGGCAAGAGAACGGAAAAAGCUGAAGAGAAGAAAAGAAAGUAUUAAUCGAGAAGCGGGCAACUUGAAAAAAUUGCAGUGAAUACUCACACUAUGCGGACGGGUAUAUCUAGAUGGAAGAGAAAAGGAUAUAAUAUCAUUUUUUAAUAAAAAAUAUAUAUUUGAAAUUAUAUAUAAAUAUAUAUUAUAUGUGUAUUGCGUUACCUUAAUUAUUUUCAAAACUGUCAUUACA